UUAUAUCCGCCGGAAAAAAAAUAUAUUGAGUAUGAAAUAAAUUUUUGUGAAAAAUAUAUUGAGUAUGAAAUAAAAUUUUAUGAAAAAUAUAUUGAGUAUGAAAUAAAUUUUUAUGAUGAAUCUGUACGGGCGGACUGAUAAUAGAUGAUAUUCUAUAAAGUAAACGAGGAUAUGAGCCAAUUUCAAGCUAAUCUAACAUGAAUUUAUGUUUAAGCUGUUAUGAGGUUAAUGUGAUUCCUAUUAUAAUUUAAUGUGAAACUGGACCAAAAGCACUUUCUCCUGCAAAAGAAAGAAUUCAUGAUUGCUUGUCAUAGUUACCCUGAUACCUAAUUAUCUAGAUUAUUUUAAUAUUCUUUUCAUAUUUAAGAUAACAUCCUAUGCAAGAUUUACCUGAAUAUAUCAUUUGAGAAUUUAC